CGCAGAACCUUACCAACCCUUGACAUACUUGUCGCGGAUUCCAGAGAUGGAUUCCUUCAGUUCGGCUGGACAAUGUACAGGUGCUGCAUGGCUGUCGUCAGCUCGUGUCGUGAGAUGUUCGGUUAAGUCCGGCAACGAGCGCAACCCACGUCCUUAGUUACCAGCAUUUAGUUGGGUACCCUAAGGAGACUGCCGGUGAUAAGCCGGAGGAAGGUGUGGACGACGUCAAGUCAUCAUGGCCCUUACGGGUUGGGCUACACACGUGCUACAAUGGCAUCUACAGUGAGUUAAUCUCCAAAAGAUGUCUCAGUUCGGAUUGGGGUCUGCAACUCGACCCCAUGAAGUUGGAAUCGCUAGUAAUCGCGGAACAGCAUGCCGCGGUGAAUACGUUCCCGGGCCUUGUACACACCGCCCGUCACACCAUGGGAAUUGGGUCUACCCGAAGGUGGUGCGCCAACUAUUUAUAGAGGCAGCCAACCACGGUAGGUUCAGUGACUGGGGUGAAGUCGUAACAAGGUAACC
rnacentral:rRNA from 1 species